rnacentral:pre_miRNA from 1 species
UGGACAGAUUAUUGUAUUCGACUGUAUUCACGGCGUGAAACAGGGGAUUACACUAUUUUUAAACGGAAAGUGAAUCAAUUAACAUAAUAGACUCAU